UACGGAGGGGGCGAGCGUUAUUCGGAAUUAUUGGGCGUAAAGGGCGCGUAGGCGGCUGUACAAGUCAAAGGUGAAAUCCCUCGGCUCAACUGAGGAACUGCCUUUGAAACUGUACGGCUUGAGGCCGGGAGGGGGUAGCGGAAUUCCCAGUGUAGCGGUGAAAUGCGUAGAUAUGUGGAAGAACACCGGUGGCGAAGGCGGUUUUCUAGCUUAUUCCUGACGCUGAGGCGCGAAAGCAAGGGGAUCAAACAGG
rnacentral:rRNA from 1 species